rnacentral:rRNA from 1 species
CAGCAGCCGCGGUAAUACGUAGGGUGCGAGCGUUAAUCGGAUUUACUGGGCGUAAAGCGUGCGCAGGCGGCCCGUUAAGACAGGUGUGAAAUCCCUGGGCUCAACCUAGGAAUUGCGCUUGUGACUGGCGGGCUCGAGUACGGUAGAGGGGGGUGGAAUUCCUGGUGUAGCAGUGAAAUGCGUAGAGAUCAGGAGGAACACCGAUGGCGAAGGCAGCCCCCUGGGCCUGUACUGACGCUCAUGCACGAAAGCGUGGGGAGCAAACAGGAUUAGAUACCCUGGUAGUCCACGCCAUAAACGAUGGGUACUAGCCGUUUGGUGCGCGAUAGCGCUGAGUGGCGAAGCUAACGCGUGAAGUACCCCGCCUGGGGAGUACGGCCGCAAGGUUGAAACUUAAAGGAAUUGGCGGG